UGCCUUUACCCUUGUCCUUGUGUCUCAGCCUUCUUUACCUGUGGUCUUCUUGCAAGGACCUACUCCCCUCCUGUGUCUCCCUGCUGAGAAUUUCUUCUGCCAGACUGCCCCAAGUCCUCUGUGCAAGCUUCUGCCAGGCUAGCUUGCUAGUCUUCCCAGCCAUUGUGGAACUGUCAGGCUGGCACUGAAGGGGAACCCGUAAGGUGCCUCGGGAGAUCUGGGCUGUGAGAACGCUGGGGCUCUUAGUGAACCCAGGUGGGCAUGGACAGCAUACACUGCAGGAGGGUCCCAUGUUGUGUUUGCUAGCCCAUCCUGGCACUGCUUCUGAGCUACCUGCACAAGUCGGAGACUUGGCUGGUCCCAGUGGAAGGAGGUGGGACUGGAUGAGAGGGAGCGAUCGCUUCCUCUUCUAGGAAGGGCUCAUGCAGGUGAGCCCUUCUUUGGCCUGGACAGGUGCCUUUCAGCCACAGCAGCCCCUCCUUGUCUUUGACAAGUUGCUUCACAAAAGAAGCCUGAGAGCUUCUGCAAGUUGUGCACCCAGCUCACUGUCAUUGAAGUAUGCCUGUGCUUUGUAGCAGAGCUGAUGGGCCAAUCCACCUCUUGAGCUCCGCAUGCUCGGGCAGGAAUUUGAGCCAGGACACUCUUUUGCACAUGAACACUAUUUCUCCUUCUCUUCUUUUUAGCCUGACAAUCAUCCAGGAAACUGCUGGCCCUUCCCAGGAAGUCAAGGACAGGUCUUCAUCAAGUUGCCUGUGCCCAUCUUUCCCACAGCAGUUACGAUAAACCAUGGAAUUCCAGCAACAACAUACCACGCAGACAGCAUCUCCAGUGCUCCAAAGGACUUUGCUGUCUAUGGCCUGAAGGAAGAAGAUGAUGAGAAUGGAAUGUUCCUGGGAGAGUUAACUUUCAUGUCAGGCCAGAAUCCCAGCCAGACCUUUCAGCUGAAGAAUGAACACUCUGGGUUCAUCAGUUAUGCAAGGCUGCAAGUGCUGAGCCACCUGGAGUACACCUGUGUGUAUCAGUUCAGGCUCCACGGCAAUCCAGCCCGUGACAGUGACGCUGGGGAAAAGCUAUCUGAUCUACCUCAGAAUAAAUUACUUCUCCCAUGUUGA
rnacentral:lncRNA from 1 species